CAAGGCCACUCUGGAAAGCAGGCGAAAGCCUCACCCACGGUGCAAGCCCCCAGGGGUGAAGCUCUCAGGUACCACGACAGAGGGGGGAUC
rnacentral:ncRNA from 2 species